UACGUAGGGCGCAAGCGUUGUCCGGAAUUAUUGGGCGUAAAGAGCUCGUAGGCGGCUUGUCGCGUCGGUUGUGAAAGCCCGGGGCUUAACCCCGGGUCUGCAGUCGAUACGGGCAGGCUAGAGUUCGGUAGGGGAGAUCGGAAUUCCUGGUGUAGCGGUGAAAUGCGCAGAUAUCAGGAGGAACACCGAUGGCGAAGGCAGUGUUCUGGGCCAGUACUGACGCUGAGGAGCGAAAGCGUGGGGAGCAAACAGG
rnacentral:rRNA from 1 species